rnacentral:rRNA from 1 species
GGAGGGUGCAAACGUUGUCCGGAAUUACUGGGCGUAAAGGGCGCGUAGGCGGACUUGUAAGUCAGGAGUGAAAACUCAGGGGCUCAACCCUGAGCCUGCUUCUGAGACUGCAAGUCUUGAGGACCGGAGAGGAAAGUGGAAUUCCUAGUGUAGCGGUGGAAUGCGUAGAUAUUAGGAAGAACACCAGUGGCGAAGGCGACUUUCUGGACGGUACCUGACGCUGAGGCGCGAAAGCUAGGGGAGCAAACAGGAUUAGAUACCCUGGUAGUCCUAGCUGUAAACGAUGAGUGCUAGGUGGUGGUAGUUUCAACGCUUUCACUGCCGAAGCUAACGCAUUAAGCACUCCGCCUGGGGAGUACGGCCGCAAGGUUG